AUCGUGGAUAAGGCCCGGCAGAGUUGUUGCGGCCAAAACCCAAAAAAAUUCCUCUAAUGAGCCCUUCUUAUUUCUCGUUUUACAUGAUUUUUUGAUCAUUGUGUUCUCCGUUCUUUUCUGUGUAGUUUAGCUGAAGAAGGAAUCUCAGUCGCGAAGGAGGAUCGGUGGAGUCGCCGGACCCAAACCCCCCCCCCCCUCUCCCAGGUUUGAUUUUUGUGAUUUUCUCACCAACGAAGGUCUCAUAACAUUUUUUUCUGCAGGGAUACAUGUAAAACUGGCAAAAACUGACCAAAAUCG
rnacentral:lncRNA from 1 species